AAUUACCCAAUCCUGACACAGGGAGGUAGUGACAAGAAAUAACAAUACAGGGCUUAAAGUCUUGUAAUUGGAAUGACGGGAAUCUAAACCCUUCCCAGAGUAUCAAUUGGAGGGCAAGUCUGGUGCCAGCAGCCGCGGUAAUUCCAGCUCCAAUAGCGUAUAUUAAGGUUGUUGCAGUUAAGAAGCUCGUAGUUGAAUUUCUGCCUUGUCAUUAAUCUCGCUUCCGAGCGUUUUUUUAUUGACUUGGCAUCUUCUGGAUUUGGUGCCUUCGGGUACUAUUUUCCAGGAUUUACUUUGAGAAAACUAGAGUGUUUCAAACAGGCAUUCGCCUUGAAUACUACAGCACGGAAUAAUGAAGUAGGACUUUGGUUCUAUUUUGUUGGUUAUUGAGCCAGAGUAAUGGUUAAUAGGAGCAGUUGGGGGCAUUCGUAUUUAA
rnacentral:rRNA from 1 species